GAAAUUUCUGGUUGAGAAAAACAGCAACAAUGCUCUUCAUGGUCAAGUGACAAUCGGAACAUUGAUUUUUCAGGACUGUGCUGUUGGUUUAUUAUUCGCUUUGCUUCCUGUUCUCGGAGGUAACAGUGGGCUUUUGCAUGGAAUUAUCUCUAUGGGGAAAGUGCUGCUGAUCUUAUCCAUGUACCUCAGUGUUGCAUCAAUUUUAACUUGGUCAUUUGUUCCUCGUUUUCUGAAGUUAAUGAUUCGGUUAUCUUCUCAAACCAAUGAAUUGUAUCAGCUUGCGGUGGUGGCAUUCUGCUUAUUAUCUGCUUGGUGC
rnacentral:misc_RNA from 1 species